rnacentral:rRNA from 1 species
UACGUAGGGCGCAAGCGUUGUCCGGAAUUAUUGGGCGUAAGAGCUCGUAGGCGGCUUGUCACGUCGGUUGUGAAAAGCCCGGGGCUUUAACCCCGGGUCUGCCAGUCGAUACGGGCAGGCUAGAGUGUGGUAGGGGAGAUCGGAAUUCCUGGUGUAGCGGUGAAAUGCGCAGAUAUCAGGAGGAACACCGGUGGCGAAGGCGGAUCUCUGGCCAUUACUGACGCUGAGGAGCGAAAGCGUGGGGAGCGAACAGG